rnacentral:rRNA from 1 species
AUGCUGACCGCCGCGUGCAAGUUCCGCAACAAAUCCGGCCUCGCCAGCACCACCCGUGUUAUGCCCUUCUUCCUCUCCACCUCCGCCACCGUCACUCCGCUCUGCCCUCCUCCGUCCCCAUACCCUAGCCCCCACUUCCGCCUCCCUUACUUGCCCCGCCGCGGUCUCGCCUUCCUCGCCGCCGCUGCGUCGCCGCGGACCCUGCCCCCCACGCCCAGGCAGGCCAUGGCGUCGCUGGCGACGUCGACGGCGGCCGCCGCCGCCGCGGAGGUGACGCACCUCUCGCAGCGCGAUGCCGCGGAUAUCGACGAGCAACUCAUGGGCCCCCUCGGUUUCAGCGUCGACCAGCUCAUGGAGCUCGCUGGGCUAAGCGUCGCUACGGCCGUCGCGGAGGUUUAUAAGUUGAGUGAACAUACAAGGGUUCUUAUCAUCUGUGGUCCGGGAAAUAAUGGUGGUGAUGGUCUGGUUGCUGCUCGGCAUCUUUAUCAUUUUGGAUACAAGCCCUUUGUUUGUUAUCCAAAACGUACGGCAAAACCUCUGUAUUCUGGUCUUGUUACUCAGCUUGAAUCGCUGGCUAUCCCGUUUGUGCCUGUUGAAGACCUACCUCAGGAUUUAUCAGGGCAGUAUGACAUUGUUAUUGAUGCGAUGUUUGGUUUCUCAUUUCAUGGAGCACCCCGGCCACCCUUUGAUGAUCUUAUCCAAAUGCUUGUUUCAUUGAGUGUUAUUGGUGAUUCAGCGAAAAGACCGCCAAUUGUUUCUGUUGAUAUCCCUUCUGGGUGGCAUGUAGAGGAGGGAGAUGUCAGUGGAGGAGGAAUUAAGCCUGAUAUGCUGGUAUCAUUGACCGCACCAAAGCUCUGUGCCAAAAAAUUUACUGGACCCCACCAUUUCCUAGGGGGUAGGUUUGUUCCGCCUCCCAUUUCGAGCAAAUAUGGGCUUGAACUUCCUCCAUAUCCUGGAACCUCCAUGUGUGUGAGAAUUGGAAAAGUGCCGUCAGUUGACAUUUCAUCUCUCAGGGAGAAUUAUAUUUCCCCGGAACUUCUUGAGACUCAAGUGAUGCCUAAUCCGUUCGACCAGUUUCGUACUUGGUUUGAUGAAGCAGUUACUGCUGGCCUGCGCGAACCUAAUGCCAUGGCUUUAACAACUGUCAAUAAAGCGGGAAAGCCUUCUUCAAGAAUGGUUCUUUUAAAAGGCGUUGAUAAGCAGGGAUUCGUUUGGUACACAAAUUACGGUAGCCAAAAAGCACAUGAUUUAUCGGAAAAUUCAAAUGCGGCACUUCUUUUCUACUGGAAUGAGAUGAACCGACAGGUUAGAGUAGAAGGGUCGGUUCAGAAGGUCUCAGAAGAAGAAUCUGAGAAGUAUUUCCACAGCCGCCCACGUGGAAGUCAGCUUGGUGCAAUUGUUAGCAAGCAGAGCACUGUCAUUUCUGGAAGAGAAGUUCUCCAACAAGCGUACAAGGAAUUGGAGCAAAAAUAUUCUGACGGGUGA